AUUGAACGCUGGCGGCAGGCCUAACACAUGCAAGUCGAGCGGAUGAAGGGAGCUUGCUCCUGGAUUCAGCGGCGGACGGGUGAGUAAUGCCUAGGAAUCUGCCUGGUAGUGGGGGAUAACGUCCGGAAACGGGCGCUAAUACCGCAUACGUCCUGAGGGAGAAAGGGGGGGAUCUUCGGACCUCACGCUAUCAGAUGAGCCUAGGUCGGAUUAGCUAGUUGGUGGGGUAAAGGCCUACCAAGGCGACGAUCCGUAACUGGUCUGAGAGGAUGAUCAGUCACACUGGAACUGAGACACGGUCCAGACUCCUACGGGAGGCAGCAGUGGGGAAUAUUGGACAAUGGGCGCAAGCCUGAUCCAGCCAUGCCGCGUGUGUGAAGAAGGUCUUCGGAUUGUAAAGCACUUUAAGUUGGGAGGAAGGGCAGUAAGUUAAUACCUUGCUGUUUUGACGUUACCAACAGAAUAAGCACCGGCUAACUUCGUG
rnacentral:rRNA from 1 species